rnacentral:rRNA from 1 species
AUGCAAGUCGAGCGAACAGAUAAGGUAGCUUGCUCCUUUGACGUUAGCGGCGGACGGGUGAGUAACACGUGGAUAACCUACCUAUAAGACUGGGAUAACUUCGGGAAACCGGAGCUAAUACCGGAUAAGAUUUUGAACCGCAUGGUUCAAUAGUGAAAGACGGCCUUGCUGUCACUUAUAGAUGGAUCCGCGCCGUAUUAGCUAGUUGGUAAGGUAACGGCUUACCAAGGCAACGAUACGUAGCCGACCUGAGAGGGUGAUCGGCCACACUGGAACUGAGACACGGUCCAGACUCCUACGGGAGGCAGCAGUAGGGAAUCUUCCGCAAUGGGCGAAAGCCUGACGGAGCAACGCCGCGUGAGUGAUGAAGGUCUUCGGAUCGUAAAACUCUGUUAUCAGGGAAGAACAAACGUGUAAGUAACUGUGCACGUCUUGACGGUACCUGAUCAGAAAGCCACGGCUAACUACGUGCCAGCAGCCGCGGUAAUACGUAGGUGGCAAGCGUUAUCCGGAAUUAUUGGGCGUAAAGCGCGCGUAGGCGGUUUUUUAAGUCUGAUGUGAAAGCCCACGGCUCAACCGUGGAGGGUCAUUGGAAACUGGAAAACUUGAGUGCAGAAGAGGAAAGUGGAAUUCCAUGUGUAGCGGUGAAAUGCGCAGAGAUAUGGAGGAACACCAGUGGCGAAGGCGACUUUCUGGUCUGUAACUGACGCUGAUGUGCGAAAGCGUGGGGAUCAAACAGGAUUAGAUACCCUGGUAGUCCACGCCGUAAACGAUGAGUGCUAAGUGUUAGGGGGUUUCCGCCCCUUAUGCUGCAGCUAACGCAUUAAGCACUCCGCCUGGGGAGUACGACCGCAAGGUUGAAACUCAAGGAAUUGACGGGACCGCACAAGCGGUGGAGCAUGUGGUUUAAUUCGAAGCAACGCGAGAACCUUACAAUCUGACUCCUUUGACCGCUCUAGAAUUUUUCCCCUUGGGAAAGUGACAGGGGGGA